rnacentral:rRNA from 1 species
UACGUAGGUGGCAAGCGUUAUCCGGAUUUAUUGGGCGUAAAGCGAGCGCAGGCGGUUUUUUAAGUCUGAUGUGAAAGCCCUCGGCUUAACCGAGGAAGCGCAUCGGAAACUGGGAAACUUGAGUGCAGAAGAGGACAGUGGAACUCCAUGUGUAGCGGUGAAAUGCGUAGAUAUAUGGAAGAACACCAGUGGCGAAGGCGGCUGUCUGGUCUGUAACUGACGCUGAGACUCGAAAGCAUGGGUAGCGAACAGG